UCUGUUGUGUCCCUCGGGGAGUCUGGGUUGGCGACUGGGGUCACUUCCCCGGCAGUUUCCUCUCUGGCCGAGGAAGGGGCAGGUAGCAGAUACGUGCCCUGCUCUGGGAGUGUGGCAUUCUUCCCGCGUGGCCUCCCCAUCUGGCCUGGGCAAGCCCCUGCUGCACUCCCGGCCUGACCCAACGGGGGUUGGUGCAAAAGGGUCCACCAGGGGCCAACACGAUCACCCUGAGAGGCUCUCCUGGUGUCCCCGGGGUCCCCCGAUACGUUCCUUGGCGGACAAGCCCCGCAGGCAGGAGUGGGCGCUGGGAGGAGGAAGGGGGAAAAAAAAGACCAAGGGCAGAAGGAAAUGAGCAGGGAGUUAUGUGCGAUUUGAUUCGCAAUGAACAUCUUGUGCGAGAGAAGAGGCAAUUUGGCACCUGUUACUAGUGAGUUACUGGCGGAAGCACUCAAGGCCUAGGAAUUCCACUGUGAAGACCGGAUGAGCUCACGUGGCAGCACACUGCGAGAAGGGUGACCCGGGACGGGCUCUGGACUCUGCCUGGGACUCUUUUCAAGAUAAAGCAGGCAGCACCCUGCCACGUUUUAGGGCCUUCUGGGUGGGAACAGGGAUCCUUUUGCCUGUGGAGAGCAUGAUCUGAUAAAAGGAGCAUUGCCCCCUGCUGCUGACCGGGGGCGGGGUUGGGGUCGGGGGUGACUCUGAACACCUCACUUGCCUGUUUGGUGCUGCAGGAUGAGGAGUUAAUUCCUGGAACUGUCUAAGUCCCUUCCAGCUCCAGACACUCCCUGAUUAAAUGGAAUAAUGGAUUUCAGGUUAUACAGUGACAUUCAGGCCUUGAGUGAUAUUUUAAAAAUGGAAUGGAUGAGUAUAGAAUGGACUAGAAGCUAUCAGAAAACAUGCAUGUGGUGAGUAUUGUUUCAUGAAAUAUACAUGUUUGUGUGUGUGUGCUGGGUUUUGGUGUGAAUAUAUACGUAUUUCUGUGGGCCAUGGUCGAAAAUUUUGAAGCCCACUUGGUUUGCAAGCCUUCUGGGCUGAAUCAGGGAAGGCGGACUGGAGGGGGAGAGACAGGAAGUUCUUGCAAACAGGGCAAGUGAGCUGCAUUCUCUCCCACCCCAAGUUCUUGAGAAAGAAAUUGCUUAACUUUUGAAGAGAGUUCACUGAUGUCUUCCAAGGCCUCCUCCGCGUGGCCAUGCAGAUAACAGUGGAGGCUAUGGCUGUGUUUGGUACCCUGCUUCAUUGGCAGGAUCCUCUGCCUGGUACCAGUGUGCUACCCUGGGCCACAGCUGGAACUUGGUUCCUUUGACUUAACAAUGAUGGUAGCUUUCCAUCCUUCCAAUGAGAUGUUUUAUAUAUAUAUAUAUAUAUACACAUAUAUAUACAUACAUACACACAUAUAUAUAUACACACACACAUAUAUACACACACACACACACACACACACACAUAUAUAUAUAUAUAUGUAUUACCAGAGCCAACACUGGGGUCCAAUCCAGCCUAUGCUUGGGACCCAGCAUCAGUUCAGUGCAGAUGGCAGGCACUGUGCACCCCACUAUGCACCCCGCCUUUCAGUGGAAGCGGGUGAGAAGACUGGCUGCUUCCUAACCUCCCACAACUGGUGAUACCAAUGUCGUCACACGCCUGGGGCAGGCACCACUUGGGGGAGAGUGUAGUCACAGCACUGGUGAGCUGCCGGCUACCCUCUGGCCUCCGCACACCCUGUUACUUAGUCUCUAAGCUUCUACCUUAGCCCCUUCUCAGGCAGUGGGGACCCAAUUUCUUUCCUAGGUUUAGCCACAACAAACCCCCUUGUUGUAGUGCCACGGGGGCCAAUCUGAUCCUUUUUAAAGGUGACCAACGCCAUACACAUGCACUCCUCCCCAUCCUUUCCUUACCCAAACCUAACCCUGUGCAUAUGGUUUACAUAACUCCCGACACCCAGCCUCUUGGUUACACCUUCAGGGCAAACAUACCAAUGCUGCUCUUUGGACUCCAUAAAUGUGCAUAUCCUUUCUGUCUGACCUGGGAUUUUUCCAGAUCUCUGGAUUCUGACUGGCUCCUAAUUCACACUAGCAGAGCCACCUACCACUGUUUGAACACCACCACCUCCAAGGGCACUUCAAAAUGUUCAUGGAAAAAUAAACUCUUUUAAUGCCAUUUUCUGCUAACUUCUUGAAGCCCUUUGGUAUGUGCCAAGCCCUGUACUAGGAUUUUAUAUAUUUAGCAAACUCCAAGAGAUAUUAUUAUCUCUCUUUUAUGGAUAAAGAAACUCAGGCUUGGAUAUUGUUAAUAAUUGCACGUCUAGUUAAUAAUCAAGUUGUUUCAAAACCAGGUUUCUCUAGAUUGUAAUCCUUUGACUGCUGGGACAUACUGCUUUCCCUGGUUCCCUUCCAUAGUCUCCUUCCAUGAGAACGAGGAAUGCCUUCUCUCUUUCUUUCCAUUCUGUCUUAGAAAAAUCAUGACAACACAGGCACCUCUUUGGAAAGAAAAUCUAAGUGGGAUUUGGUUUUGCACUGGAACACCCUCAGAGGGGGCUCUCCAAAAUCUUUAGGCGCAGACUCUUGCCUCCCACAGGCUCCCCUGGCUGUGAGAGAAAGGGCUGUCCUCAGUAUCAGACCGGAGAGGGCAGGACAGUUCCCCAGACCUUCUCCUCCACGUCUGAAGAGGCUGAAUGAGGAGUCGGCCGUGUGCUCCACUGUACCCCUUUCUUCGGCAUUUAUUCGUAUUUUGUUCACCGCUUUGUCUCCCAUCCCUUCCUCCCUCUGAACAUCCACUGUUGCCCUGGAAAUGUCAAUCCGUCAUUCCACAAAUAUUGGGAUAUCAGCAAAGGUCCAGCUUCACUGCUGUGAAUGUUGUAUCCUUGGUAUAGAAGUUAUUUGGGCCAGCGCCGCGGCUCAAUAGGCUAAUCCUCCACCUAGCGGCGCCGGCACCCCGGGUUCUAGUCCCGGUCGGGGCGCCGGAUUCUUUCCCGGUUGCCCCUCUUCCAGGCCAGCUCUCUGCUAUGGCCCAGGAGUGCAGUGGAGGAUGGCUCAAGUGCUUGGGCCCUGCACCCCAUGGGAGACCAGGAGAAGCACCUGGCUCCUGCCUUCGGAUCAGCGCGGUGCGCUGGCCACAGCGCGCCAGCCGUGGCGGCCAUUGGAGGGUGAACCAACGGCAAAAGGAAGACCUUUCUCUCUGUCUCUCUCUCUCUCUCACUGUCCACUCUGCCUGUCAAAAAAAAAAAAAAAAAAAAAGUGAGUGCCAGACCCCUGGCGUCACCCAUUCUGCAGCUGGGAGUAAAAUCAGGGCUAGCCAGAUGCAUAGGACAGGGAUGAUAUGGGAAACGUGUGUGCAUCUAUCAUUGUUGAGACCCACAAGGGCCCCUCCUUGACGUAACAGUGCUCUUUCUUCCCCUUGGCUUGGAACAAGGCAUCUAGAAGUCGUGGAGUUGGACAGACUCUUGUGGGUCAUCUCAAGCAGCUUAUGCCAUCAGAGGCAGCACUAUACGCUACAGUGUCCCUCACAUCCGACUUCUCCUUGAACACUCCCAGGUGGGGGCUACCUUGUGUCUAUCCACUCCAUUCUGGAAAAUCUCAUUCAUAUAAUUAUCAGGUUUGAUCUGAUUCCCCAGUCCUUCUACCCAGGGGUCCCAUCUCAGCCUCUUGGCGUAACAUGAAUUCCAAACCCUCUUCCAUAUGAUUCUCCUACAAGUAUCUGUAGGCAGUGGUGAUGCCAGACUUGUUUUCCUGAGACAGAGCAUGCCCAGUGGGUGCAGUUUUGCAGCUGUGUCAGUACUCUUGGUAAUGUCAAUUCCACUUGUAAGGUAUACUGGUGUGAAUGAAUGAAUACUUAGCUUUUACUGUGUGCCAACCCCAUUCAAAGACCUGAUCUAAUUCAAGUCUCAUGUCCAACCUGGGAGAUAAGAACUCUUUCCAUUUUAUAGAGAAGACUGAAACUCAUGGAGUUAGGGGUUUACAGGAAGGUCAUCGUGUUAGAAAUGGACAGAACCAUCACAUCACUUUAUCCUGAGCCUUUUACCACACACAUGCACUGUUUUUCCCUUGAUCUGAGUUUCACCAGGAUAAGGAUGGUGUGAGACAGAUACAGGCCUUGCCAUCCUUAACUAAACAAGAUCAGGGCAAACUCCAUAAACAGCAGAGCGGUUUCUAUCCCCAUGGACUCACGGACGCAAUAUCAGAAUCAAGAUCAGCUCUCCAGAUCUCAAAGACACGUGUUUGUGCACAUAAGCAGAAACUGCUCAUUUCACAUGUAUGUGCUUAGAGUGGAAAAUAUUGGAGACAUUUGUCACUUUUCCGUAAUAUUUUUGGAAUACAGGAGCCCUCUGGUGGCCACAGUCAUAGCAGGAAGGUGUCCUUGGGAAAAUUAAUCUGAGAUUUCCUCGUCUGAACUUCUCCCUCGCCCCUUUUCCGUUCAUCCUCCUACCUUCGGUUUUCAUGGGCGGUGACUUGCUUUCUGUACACCCUUCCUUCACCUCUAACCCUCGAGUUCCUCCCAGUACCUUCCCCUCCAGCCCCAGCUGUCGCCCCCUGAUCCCCCUGGAAUCUCUCCUCGCUGCCAUCUUUUGGUCUCAGAGGACCCAUUCUGAAAUCUGGCCAGUUCCCCUGCGGCAGGUGCUGGGUGACAGCUGCUGCCUCUGCUGCUGCUUCAGUGGUGUGGAAUUCGAAUCCCUUGUGGGUGUUUAGAGGCUGCACAUGGAUUAGUUCGUGAUGCCUGUUCAUCAACAAGUUUUUGCAGUGUCCUGGCUCAUGCCACACAACAACCAGCAGCGGGUGAAGACCCACAGAAGAGUGAUUCCAAAUGUCAGUCAGUGAGGAUUGACCAGCGACUCACAGGCGGAGGCUGCACUGAUGGCUUCAGGGAACCCAUAAGGGAACAGGAAGCCAAGAGUGAACGGGGCAGGAAUUUUGGUUAAGGUGUUGGACAGUCACCCUGGCUUCUAGUGCAAUAAGAUAAUGGGGCAGUAUAACACUUAGAAAGCACUUUGGACUCUUGAGGAAAAGGCGUCCUAUAAAAUGAGCUGGUGACUUUAUUACAUUAUGGUGCUUAACAAUUAGUGGCUUAAUCACAGGGCAAUGGAGUGAGAUUGGCCUGUGAUUCCCUGUGCCGGGGAGACAGUCCGGAAGGCCUUUACAGGGCCCACUGUGUGUUGCAAGAGGGAGGAGUGCAGCACUUCUGGGCUUCUUUGCAAGUGAGGCCAGAGGAGGGUUCUGCAGAGAACUAGAGCAUUUGGAAAGCUACUGGUUUCCAUCAUCUAGGAAGGGAAUGGCCGGAGAGGGUGGGGAGGGUUCCCACCGUGGGAUACCAUGCAGCUGAGUUUCCGUUCCCGCUGCCUCCUAGGUAAACAGAGUGGCCUUUGAAUGCUGCGAGAUGAACGUAGGCUCCUAACUCAGGAUUAGGGUGACACUGGAAAGCACCUGUGUACCUGCAGAGCUGUAGAAUUCUCUCCCCUGAAGAUAUCAAGGGAGUGUUGAUAGGUCUUAGGUGCGUCCGGGUGAAGCCCUACCUCAAGGAUGGAUGAGAUCGCUCCUGGGGAUGCUCUUUCCAGAACUGUCUUUCUAGAAACACCCUGGGCUUCUUGUUGCCUGAGAUUUUCUGAGUACAUAAUUUCUAGGUGAAAGAGUGAUGCUGAAGUGUGUGUCUAACUCUGUCAUCUUCAUCCAGUCUCUCCAUAGUGCUGUCUCUUUGCCCUUUUAUUUAAAAAAAAAAUUGGUUGAUUGAUCACACACACACACACACACACAUACAUACACAAAGACAGAUCUUAAAACUGUUGGUUCACUCCUCAAAUGCCCACAACAUUUGGGGGGUGAGCCAGGUGGAAGCCAGAGGCCAGAACCUCAAUCCAGGUCUCCCAUGCAGAUGGCAGGAACCCCACUAGUUGAGCCAGCACCUGCUGCCUUCCAGGGAGCUCAGUGGCAGGAAGCCGAAAUGGUGAAUGGAGCUGGACUUGAACGGAGGCACUCUGAUAUGGGAUGCAGGUGUCCCAAGCAGAAUCCUAAUUGCUGAACCAAAAUGCCCACUCCCUUCUUUGCCCACCCAACCACAGAUACUCAGCCCCCUCCCAGUUUCUACCAGAACUUACAGGACCCACCAAGAACGCCUCUGAUCAAGGUAGUACUCAUUUGUUCAAUUUCCCCUGGUUCAGUGUGUGUGCACAUAACCAUGCUGUCCUUUUUAAUGGAGCGAUCAGUUCUGUUAUCACACUCAGCUUUGGGUGAACAGCUUGGACCAUGCCUAUCAAAUGUGCUUUUUGUAGUAUCUCAUCCCAGAGAAAAGUUCUAAAUACAUAUUUGUUUUUUUCCUUAGAGAUCCUAUGGCACAAUGAAAAGCACGCUGGAUUGCAAGUUAGCAGACUGUGUUCCUUCCUGGCUUGCCACCAUCUAGCCCUGUGACCUUGAACAUCUCGCUUUGCUUCUCCAGGCCCCAAUUUCCACAUCUAUGCAAUGAGGAGAUCUGGAAUGAAGAGGCACCUCCAGCUCUGAAAUGCACUACUUCCAUAAAGGUGCCCUCCUUCCGAGCAAUGCCAGCUCCUCGCGGGCGGCGCUAAGCCCUGUGUAUAAGUGCGAGUGCUCUCUGGCCCGAGGAGGCAGUGGUGGAGGGGUAAGGAGUGAGGGGCAAGCAGGUAUGUGUUCAUAGAUGAAUCACUCCCAGCAGCAGUGAGAAGAGACAGGGAGGACUGGUGCUGCUUCCCAUACUACUUCUCAUUUGUGUGCCUACUGUGUGUUUCCUUCCUCCCUCCCUCUCUGCCUCCCUUUUUCCCUUCCCAUCCUGCAGGACUCACUGCCAGCUGACCAUGGCCCUGAAUAUGGAGGAGAACAGAGAUAGGUAGCUGCACAUUUAGCCUCACGAUCCACACUGGGGGCUGGAGCUGAGCUGGGAAGACCCCUGGACCAAUGCUCCUCAUCCCAGUAGGGCUUGGGGGAACUCCCGUUUCUCAUGACAAGGCAGGAUUUUUGCUUUCCUAGGGAAGCGUCAGUGUAAGUGGAGAGAAGAGGCUUAGAGAGUUCGGGCAUGGAGCCGAGGCUUUUGUGGAGGGUAGGAUUCCUCAGCUGUCAGAAACAUCAGUGGAAGGGGAAACAGGUGGUGAAUUCCUGCUUUCCUUACACAAAUAUUUUAAGUGGAUCAUAAGCCCCCUCUUUUCUCCCUACCAAUAAGUCCCCAGUGUUUUAGUGCUCACGGCUCCGAAUGCCAGGAUCUUUUUUCCAAACCAAGUGGGAGCCCUGCUUUGCUACUGGUUGCUGGUGUUUGGGGAUAAAUAGACUUUGGCUCUAGGAGAUCAGCUUUGGUCCUCUCUCAGAUAAGUGACACAAAGAAGCUGGUCCAACUUCCUGGGCUUGACUGCCUUAGAUGUUGUCAGUGGGAACGUGUCUCACUGCAUUUCUGAUAACCAAGCCCAACAUACAGCAGGUAUGUUUGCCAGGCAGGCGAGGUGGGAAGUCUUGGCAGCAGCUCUGGGCGAAACCAGGAAGAACAUGAUGAGGCCAAUUGAAAGACAACGUCACCAGUUUCUAAUGAGGGAGCGCAUGGCAGAGGGGCUGAGCCCGUGAGGACGCCUUUGCUGAGUGUGGGACAGUGAGGGGCACGGAGAGGGGUCCUGCCUGCCACUGCACGGCCCAGAGGAGAGGGCAGAGUCUCUAUCUUAGGGUCUGUAAGAACCUGAGGCAGGAGUUUGUCAGAGCAGUUAAGACACCACUUGGGACACUUGCAUCGCAUAUGGUCUGGGUUUGAGGGUUUGAGUCCUGGUUGUACACCGGAUUCCAAUUUCCUGUUCAUGUGUACCCUGGAAGGAACCAAGUGAUGGCUCAGGGACUUGGGUCCCUGUCACCUAUAUGGGAGACCUGGAUUCUGUUCCCAGCCUCUUGGCUUUGACCUGGCCCAGCCCUGGCUAUUGUAAGCAUUUGGGAACUGAACCAGCAGAUGACAGAUUCCUCUCUCUCUCUCCCUCUUUAUCUCUCUUCCUCUGUGUGUGUCUCCUUCUCAAAUAAAACAGAUUUAUUAAGACAACAACAACAACAAGAAACCAGAACUUGCAGAGAUAGAGGCUGAUCGGCAGAUAGUAAAGCUAAUUAUGUGAGCAUGGAGACAAAUCUGUUCACAAGACAGACGCGAGAUGGAAUCAUGGAACUUAGGGCUAAUAGCAAAGCACUUUCAGGUUUCCCGUCCAGCCCCUUCAUUUUAUAGGUAAAUAAGCCCAGGCUUACACUAACAGUGAUUGGCAGGGUAAUAUUUUCUCUAAGUGUAGGGCAUUCUUAGUACAGCGAUCUAUUGCUUUUGGGGCAGGGGGAAAGCCUGGGGUUUGGAGAAAAACUGACUCAAGUCAGCGUCAAGAUGUCAGUUGCUAUCUGCGACCUUGUAGGAUAAGAAUACCUACCUCUCGGGGCUCUUGAGAGUAAAUAAGAAAAUACCUGUGAAAGCAUCCGACCUAAAGCUUGGCACUGUGCAUAGCAAGUACUGAUGAUUACUCAUGCCCAGUCCAUGCGGAUUAUCAUGAACUUGGCUGGCAGAGUCUGUCCUGGUAGUGAGUGAGUGAACAAACAUUAAACAAGUGAUUGCUAUGUACCAGGAAUGCUUGUAUUGUAUCACACGUCCUCAAUUAUUAAAAUCAUAUUAGUGUAAUGAAUAACUGUGAAGUAGGAACUGUUGUGUUAAUAAAUAAAUAACAGCAGUGGUAAUGGCAGUGAUGAUAAUAGAGUUGGCCCAACUGCUGUAGAGACAGCGUGGUGAAGUGAGGGGAGGCAAAAGGAAAACUUCUUCUGGCAUCUAGCUUCUUUAGUUGGCUUUGGCUUCCAAUAGCAGGUGUUCCAAGGAAUAGGAAUGCUGGUCAUUCGUUCAUUCAUUGGCAGACCAGUUACUGAGUUAUUAUGGGCCGGUUACUUUCCUAGGAACGGAAACAUGGUGGCCGACCAAAGCAAGAUUCCUCCUUUAAGUGGCGAUUGCAUUCUAGCUGAGGCAAUAAGCACACAAGGAAAUAGAUAACAUACUGUUGGGUGGUGAUAAGACGUGAGUGUGAGUGUGAGUGUGGA